rnacentral:rRNA from 1 species
AGAGUUUGAUCCUGGCUCAGGACGAACGCUGGCGGCGUGCCUAAUACAUGCAAGUAGAACGCUGAAGAGAGGAGCUUGCUCUUCUUGGAUGAGUUGCGAACGGGUGAGUAACGCGUAGGUAACCUGCCUUGUAGCGGGGGAUAACUAUUGGAAACGAUAGCUAAUACCGCAUAACAAUGGAUGACACAUGUCAUUUAUUUGAAAGGGGCAAUUGCUCCACUACAAGAUGGACCUGCGUUGUAUUAGCUAGUAGGUGAGGUAAUGGCUCACCUAGGCGACGAUACAUAGCCGACCUGAGAGGGUGAUCGGCCACACUGGGACUGAGACACGGCCCAGACUCCUACGGGAGGCAGCAGUAGGGAAUCUUCGGCAAUGGGGGCAACCCUGACCGAGCAACGCCGCGUGAGUGAAGAAGGUUUUCGGAUCGUAAAGCUCUGUUGUAAGUCAAGAACGGGUGUGAGAGUGGAAAGUUCACACUGUGACGGUAGCUUACCAGAAAGGGACGGCUAACUACGUGCCAGCAGCCGCGGUAAUACGUAGGUCCCGAGCGUUGUCCGGAUUUAUUGGGCGUAAAGCGAGCGCAGGCGGUUUGAUAAGUCUGAAGUUAAAGGCUGUGGCUCAACCAUAGUUCGCUUUGGAAACUGUCAAACUUGAGUGCAGAAGGGGAGAGUGGAAUUCCAUGUGUAGCGGUGAAAUGCGUAGAUAUAUGGAGGAACACCGGUGGCGAAAGCGGCUCUCUGGUCUGUAACUGACGCUGAGGCUCGAAAGCGUGGGGAGCGAACAGGAUUAGAUACCCUGGUAGUCCACGCCGUAAACGAUGAGUGCUAGGUGUUGGAUCCUUUCCGGGAUUCAGUGCCGCAGCUAACGCAUUAAGCACUCCGCCUGGGGAGUACGACCGCAAGGUUGAAACUCAAAGGAAUUGACGGGGGCCCGCACAAGCGGUGGAGCAUGUGGUUUAAUUCGAAGCAACGCGAAGAACCUUACCAGGUCUUGACAUCCCGAUGCUAUUUCUAGAGAUAGAAAGUUACUUCGGUACAUCGGUGACAGGUGGUGCAUGGUUGUCGUCAGCUCGUGUCGUGAGAUGUUGGGUUAAGUCCCGCAACGAGCGCAACCCCUAUUGUUAGUUGCCAUCAUUCAGUUGGGCACUCUAGCGAGACUGCCGGUAAUAAACCGGAGGAAGGUGGGGAUGACGUCAAAUCAUCAUGCCCCUUAUGACCUGGGCUACACACGUGCUACAAUGGUUGGUACAACGAGUUGCGAGUCGGUGACGGCGAGCUAAUCUCUUAAAGCCAAUCUCAGUUCGGAUUGUAGGCUGCAACUCGCCUACAUGAAGUCGGAAUCGCUAGUAAUCGCGGAUCAGCACGCCGCGGUGAAUACGUUCCCGGGCCUUGCACUCACCGCCCGUCA